GUGCCAGCAGCCGCGGUAAUACGUAGGAUCCGAGCGUUAUCCGAAUUUACUGGGCGUAAAGCGUGUGCAGGCGGUUUGGUAAGUUGGAUGUGAAAGCUCCCGGCUCAACUGGGAGAGGCCGUUCAAAACUACCAGACUAGAGGACGGUAGAGGGAGGUAGAAUUCCCGGUGUAGUAGUGAAAUGCGUAGAUAUCGGGAGGAAUACCAGUGGCGAAGGCGGCCUCCUGGGCCGUUCCUGACGCUCAGACACGAAAGCUAGGGGAGCAAACGGGAUUAGAAACCCCGGUAGUCCUAGCUGUAAACGAUGCAAACUUGGUGUUGGUGGGGUAAAUCCGCCGGUGCCGAAGCUAACGCGAUAAGUUUGCCGCCUGGGGACUACGGCCGCAAGGUUAAAUCUCAAAGGAAUUGACGGGGCCCCGCACAAGCAGCGGAGCGUGUGGUUUAAUUCGUUGCUACGCGAAAAACCUUACCCGGGUUUGACAUAUAGGUAGUAGGGAUUCGAGAGAUGACCGACCCUUCGGGGAGCCUAUACAGGUGCUGCAUGGCUGUCGUCAGCUCGUGCCGUGAGGUGUCCGGUUAAGUCCGGUAACGAGCGCAACCCUCGCUGUAUGUUACAAGUGUCAUACAGGACUGCCGGUAUCAAGCCGGAGGAAGGCGGGGAUGACGUCAAGUCAGCAUGGCCUUUAUAUCCGGGGCUACACACACGCUACAAUGGCGGGUACAAUGGGUCGCAAAGCCGCGAGGUAGANCCAAUCCCCAAAACCGGUCUCAGUUCANAUUGCANGCUGCAACCCGCCUGCAUGAAGCCGGANUUGCUAGUAAACGCGCAUCANCAUUAGUGCGUUGAAUACGUUCCCGGGGCU
rnacentral:rRNA from 1 species